rnacentral:rRNA from 1 species
UGUAAAUGUAAAAUUUUUAAACCAGGGUAGUAAUAGUUAAGUUCUUGAAACCCAAAGAAUUUGGCGGUAUUUUAGUCCUUUCAGAGGAAUCUGUCCCGUAAUCGACAGUCCACGAGAGAAUUUACUUAUUCUUGUAUUUCAGUUUGUAUACCUCCGUCAUAAGAAGAUCUUUUUAGAGAUGAAAUUUUCUUGAUAUAUGAAUUAUAAAAUGUCAGGUCAAGGUGCAAUUUAUGAAUAAGAGGAGAUGGAUUACAAUAAAUUUAUUUACACGGAUUGAAUUAUUUAAUUUUUUUAUGAAGGUGGAUUUGAUAGUAAUUUUGAUUAUUUGUUAUUAUGAUUUUGGCUCUAAAAUAUGC